UUUCCGUAGGUGAACCUGCGGAAGGAUCAUUAAUGAGUUGUCAUGGGGUUCGAUGCUGGCAGCCAAUUUUUGGAUGCAUGUGCUUGCCCUAACAAUCAUCUUCCAAACACCUGUGCACAUUUUUGAGGGAGUCUUGAGUUGGUUGCCGCUCUUGGGUGAUUUUCUCACAUUCCCUUAAAUCAUUAUACGCUAUUAACAAUGUUGAACGUGCUCUGUGCCGCAAGGCUAUUAAUAUAAUACAACUUUUAACAACGGAUCUCUUGGCUCUCGCAUCGAUGAAUAACGCAGC
rnacentral:misc_RNA from 1 species